UACGAAGGGGGCUAGCGUUGCUCGGAAUUACUGGGCGUAAAGGGCGCGUAGGCGGACAUUUAAGUCAGGGGUGAAAUCCUGGAGCUCAACUCCAGAACUGCCUUUGAUACUGAAGAUCUUGAGUUCGGGAGAGGUGAGUGGAACUGCGAGUGUAGAGGUGAAAUUCGUAGAUAUUCGCAAGAACACCAGUGGCGAAGGCGGCUCACUGGCCCGAUACUGACGCUGAGGCACGAAAGCGUGGGGAGCAAACAGG
rnacentral:rRNA from 1 species